CCUACGGGCUGCAGCAGUAGGGAAUCUUCCGCAAUGGACGAAAGUCUGACGGAGCAACGCCGCGUGAGUGAUGAAGGCUUUCGGGCCGUAAAACUCUGUUGUUAGGGAAGAACAAGUGAUAGUUGAAUAAGCUGGCACCUUGACGGUACCUAACCAGAAAGCCACGGCUAACUACGUGCCAGCAGCCGCGGUAAUACGUAGGUGGCAAGCGUUAUCCGGAAUUAUUGGGCGUAAAGCGCGCGCAGGUGGUUUCUUAAGUCUGAUGUGAAAGCCCACGGCUCAACCGUGGAGGGUCAUUGGAAACUGGGAGACUUGAGUGCAGAAGAGGAAAGCGGAAUUCCAUGUGUAGCGGUGAAAUGCGUAGAGAUCUGGAGGAUUACCGGUGGCGAAGGCGGCCCCCUGGACAAAGACUGACGCUCAGGUGCGAAAGCGUGGGGAGCAAACAGGAUUAGAUACCCGAGUAGUC
rnacentral:rRNA from 1 species